UACGAAGGGGGCUAGCGUUGCUCGGAAUCACUGGGCGUAAAGGGUGCGUAGGCGGACAUUUAAGUCAGGGGUGAAAUCCCAGAGCUCAACUCUGGAACUGCCUUUGAUACUGGGUGUCUUGAGUAUGGAAGAGGUGAGUGGAAUUCCGAGUGUAGAGGUGAAAUUCGUAGAUAUUCGGAAGAACACCAGUGGCGAAGGCGACACACUGGCUCACUACUGACGCUGAGGCGCGAAAGCGUGGGGAGCAAACAGG
rnacentral:rRNA from 1 species